rnacentral:lncRNA from 1 species
UGGGGCUAAUUUUGGCAUUGGCAAUAAAACGUCUCCAUGGCAGUGGUAGCCAAAGGAAAAUUCAAUAACUUUUACAUAUGUGACUCUCUUUUAAACCUAUAUAGCAAUAAAGUAAAGUGACGCAAUUAUGUAUAGAAAUAAAAUGUGUUUUCGGCUAUUUUAUUUUUCGGCAUGAUUAAUCUUUAUUUAGUCGCUUCACUUGUUGCGUCAGCGGGCGGUGUUUUCGCUCUUAACGCUUUGGCUGCCAUUCCGUUCGUCUGCUCCUGGCGCUCUCUGCUCCUCUGCCCACGUGCACGCUUCUGCCUUCUACUGUGCGCUGCAACAUUUUCUUUCUGUAUCAGCCAGUGCUCCAGCGAUGUAUGAAAAAGAGAAGAAAGGCUACAAGACAGUCUGCGCGACUCUGUGUUGGACCAACACCGGAAGGGAAAGCAGGGCCCCUUUUUCCGCUUCCAAGACCACAGCUCCAGCAUGGAAAACUCUACCUCGUCUUUCUUUAGAACUAUGGCCUACCAAGCACCACGGAAGAAACUGGCGCUCGUGGCGCAAUUUCCGUUUACCUCGAAGGUAUACCAUCUGACAUAGCCGUGCUGUUAGCGCCGUUCUAUGAACAUGGCAUAUGGGCGUACGCGCAUUUAGAACGGCUGAGUACUGCUCCCGCUUCUUCAACACUGUUAACCAUGCAAGCUGAGUUUCAACGAGGUUUCGACCCUGAUGCUCCAUCCACCAUUCUUCGGCAGGCUAGGGUUGUAUGUUUUACCUUUUUCGCUGACAACGUCGCAGCCACUGCUUGGGGUUUGCGGGCGAAUCACUCACUCAAGGCAAAACCUCUUGAUCACCGUACAUCUACUUGAAUAAAUAUUAGUAUGCAGUUAUG